AACCCAUUCUGGUUCCAGGUAAACACCCAUUCUGGUUCCAGGUAAACACCCAUUCUGGUUCCAGGUAAACACCCAUUCUGGUUCCAGGUAAACACCCAUUCUGGUUCCAGGUAAACACCCAUUCUGGUUCCAGGUAAACACCCAUUCUGGUUCCAGGUAAACACCCAUUCUGGUUCCAGGUAAACACCCAUUCUGGUUCCAGGUAAACACCCAUUCUGGUUCCAGGUAAACACCCAUUCUGGUUCCAGGUAAACACCCAUUCUGGUUCCAGGUAAACACCCAUUCUGGUUCCAGGUAAACACCCAUUCUGGUUCCAGGUAGAUAGCACCUUUUCAUUCUAGGAGUGUAAGGUGCCAUUUCAGAUGCGGAAAUUGGUUGAAUCAAUGUUGUUUCCACGUCAUUUCAACAACCCAAAAAAGUAUUUGUGAUGACGUUGAAUCAAUGUGGAAAACUGAUUGGAUUUGCAAAAGGUCAUCAACAAAAGGAUCUUUUCACCCAACGUUUAACCUAAAUCCAAUGACAUGGUGGAAUUCUUUGUUGAUUUCACAUUGAUUUCACGUUGA